rnacentral:rRNA from 1 species
CCUACGGGUGGCAGCAGUGAGGAAUAUUGGUCAAUGGACGAGAGUCUGAACCAGCCAAGUAGCGUGAAGGAUGACUGCCCUAUGGGUUGUAAACUUCUUUUAUAUGGGAAUAAAACAGGGUAUGCAUACCCUCUCGCAUGUACCCUAUGAAUAAGGAUCGGCUAACUCCGUGCCAGCAGCCGCGGUAAUACGGAGGAUCCGAGCGUUAUCCGGAUUUAUUGGGUUUUAAGGGAGCGUAGGGGGAUGCUUAAGUCAGUUGUGAAAGUUUGCGGCUCAACCUUGAAAUUGCAGUUGAAACUGGGAGUCUUGAGUACAGUAGAUGUGGGCGGAAUUCGUGGUGUAGCGGUGAAAUGCUUAGAUAUCACGAAGAACUCCGAUUGCGACGGCAGCGCACUGGACUGCAACUGACACUCAUGCUCGAACGUGUGGGUAUCAAACAGGAUUAGAUACCCCGGUAGUC